rnacentral:rRNA from 1 species
GUAGGUGGCAAGCGUUGUCCGGAAUUAUUGGGCGUAAAGCGCGCGCAGGCGGUUCUUUAAGUCUGAUGUGAAAGCCCACGGGCUCAACCGUGGAGGGUCAUUGGAAACUGGAGAACUUGAGUACAGAAGAGGAAAGCGGAAUUCCACGUGUAGCGGUGAAAUGCGUAGAGAUGUGGAGGAACACCAGUGGCGAAGGCGGCUUUCUGGCCUGUAACUGACGCUGAGGCGCGAAAGCGUGGGGAGCAAACAGGAUUAGAUACCCUGGUAGUCCACGCCGUAAACGAUGAGUGCUAAGUGUUAGGGGGUUUCCGCCCCUUAGUGCUGCAGCUAACGCAUUAAGCACUCCGCCUGGGGAGUACGGCCGCAAGGCUG